UGAGACCCAGUCCAUUUUCUGUCUGGAGUCCGUACCACAAGUGCGUUUGCCUUUAAUUAUUUCGUAAACGAGGUAAAUGCAUUCUUCUGGUAUCGUCACUCUUUUCAGCCAUCACCAUAUUUCUCUG
rnacentral:pre_miRNA from 11 species